AUGGAGAACACAGCCAUGGUGUCUCUGAUGAGUCAUUCAAACCAUCUUUCAUCGUCCAUACUUAAUGAUUCAUCAAUAUCUACUAAUAAUAAAUCAUCAACAAUACUAAAUGGCAAAGAAACCAUAUACACUAGAAUUUGUGAUGAUGUUAUGCAACAAAAGCUAAGAUGUGAAAAGCAUAUCAAGAUCGAAGAAUUUACAAGUUCGCUAAUCAAAGAUCCUAACCUCAAUGCAGUAUUAGCUAAAGCAGUCGCACAAACUAUUGCUAGUCAACAAAGCGACAAGGUCCAAAUCUCAAUUUGA